rnacentral:rRNA from 1 species
AUUGAACGCUGGCGGCAGGCUUAACACAUGCAAGUCGAGCGGGGUGAUGGUGCUUGCACUAUCACUUAGCGGCGGACGGGUGAGUAAUGCUCAGGAAUCUGCCUAUUAGUGGGGGACAACAUCUCGAAAGGGAUGCUAAUACCGCAUACGUCCUACGGGAGAAAGCAGGGGAUCACUUGUGACCUUGCGCUAAUAGAUGAGCCUAAGUCGGAUUAGCUAGUUGGUGGGGUAAAGGCCUACCAAGGCGACGAUCUGUAGCGGGUCUGAGAGGAUGAUCCGCCACACUGGGACUGAGACACGGCCCAGACUCCUACGGGAGGCAGCAGUGGGGAAUAUUGGACAAUGGGGGGAACCCUGAUCCAGCCAUGCCGCGUGUGUGAAGAAGGCCUUAUGGUUGUAAAGCACUUUAAGCGAGGAGGAGGCUCUUUUGGUUAAUACCCAGAAUGAGUGGACGUUACUCGCAGAAUAGCACCGGCUAACCCUNUGCCAGCCGCCGCAGUAA